GGUAGUCUUUGAUCAUAUGUUCUCCUGUCUGGAGGAACUAAUAUGUCCUUCCAACUCUGCCCAGCCUUCAGUGUACCACACCAAGGAACUCCCACACUCUGAAUGAACAGCCCAGUGAUCAGGAGCUUUGAAUCAAUUCUUGGCACCUAACAGUUUGUGAAGAGUCUGCUAAACUCCCUCUAUCAGAAAUCCCAGAGGACUGAGAACAGGUCAUCCUUGGAGCUGUAUCUGAAUGGAGUCAGGAUCUGGAAGCCCAAGUCUCCUUGUCAAUGUCUGCUUGGUUCCCAAGGACACCUGUAAAUGGAAGAGGGGCAUAGUACACAGAAGACAUUGCUGGCAAGUGUGGUCUCUUUACGAUCAGUUGGAGUACCAUCUAUAGUUAAACUGUAUAAAGGAAAAAAAUCCUAUGAGUCAGUUUCCAGACCUAUGAGUGCUUUGAAGAUUACAUCAAUGGAGUUCCAUAUAUUGAAACCACAAGCUUCCUGCCAAUUGUCUGGAUUUACAAAGAUCUAUUUCACUUUGAACUAAUGAGGAAGAACUCCCAAGGCUAUUAUCUAUAGACAUGCAUGAACUUUUAAGGGACAUUUAAAAGCCAGAUCUUUACCCCCAAUUUUUCUCCUAUCUUUAUAUAAACAUAACGGUUAAUAUAGAAAAGAAAGCUGAAUUACUAUUUACAUUGUUC
rnacentral:lncRNA from 1 species